rnacentral:rRNA from 1 species
UCAUCUUCGGGGGUAGAGCACUGUUUCGGCUAGGGGGUCAUCCCGACUUACCAACCCGAUGCAAACUACGAAUACCGAAGAAUGUUAUCACGGGAGACACACGGCGGGUGCUAACGUCCGUCGUGAAGAGGGAAACAACCCAGACCGCCAGCUAAGGUCCCAAAGUCAUGGUUAAGUGGGAAACGAUGUGGGAAGGCACAGACAGCCAGGAUGUUGGCUUAGAAGCAGCCAUCAUUUAAAGAAAGCGUAAUAGCUCACUGGUCGAGUCGGCCUGCGCGGAAGAUGUAACGGGGCUAAACCAUGCACCGAAGCUGCGGCAGCGACACUAUGUGUUGUUGGGUAGGGGAGCGUUCUGUAAGCCUGCGAAGGUGACCUGUGAGGGUUGCUGGAGGUAUCAGAAGUGCGAAUGCUGACAUAAGUAACGAUAAAGCGGGUGAAAAGCCCGCUCGCCGGAAGACCAAGGGUUCCUGUCCAACGUUAAUCGGGGCAGGGUGAGUCGACCCCUAAGGCGAGGCCGAAAGGCGUAGUCGAUGGGAAACAGGUUAAUAUUCCUGUACUUGGUGUUACUGCGAAGGGGGGACGGAGAAGGCUAUGUUAGCCGGGCGACGGUUGUCCCGGUUUAAGCAUGUAGGCUGGUUAUCCAGGCAAAUCCGGAUAAUCAAGGCUGAGGUGUGAUGACGAGGCACUACGGUGCUGAAGUAACAAAUGCCCUGCUUCCAGGAAAAGCCUCUAAGCAUCAGGUAACAUCAAAUCGUACCCCAAACCGACACAGGUGGUCAGGUAGAGAAUACCAAGGCGCUUGAGAGAACUCGGGUGAAGGAACUAGGCAAAAUGGUGCCGUAACUUCGGGAGAAGGCACGCUGGUGUGUAGGUGAAGUCCCUGCGGAUGGAGCUGAGACCAGUCGAAGAUACCAGCUGGCUGCAACUGUUUAUUAAAAACACAGCACUGUGCAAACACGAAAGUGGACGUAUACGGUGUGACGCCUGCCCGGUGCCGGAAGGUUAAUUGAUGGGGUUAUCCGUAAGGAGAAGCUCUUGAUCGAAGCCCCGGUAAACGGCGGCCGUAACUAUAACGGUCCUAAGGUAGCGAAAUUCCUUGUCGGGUAAGUUCCGACCUGCACGAAUGGCGUAAUGAUGGCCAGGCUGUCUCCACCCGAGACUCAGUGAAAUUGAACUCGCUGUGAAGAUGCAGUGUACCCGCGGCAAGACGGAAAGACCCCGUGAACCUUUACUAUAGCUUGACACUGAACAUUGAGCCUUGAUGUGUAGGAUAGGUGGGAGGCUUUGAAGCGUGGACGCCAGUCUGCGUGGAGCCAACCUUGAAAUACCACCCUUUAAUGUUUGAUGUUCUAACGUUGGCCCCUUACCGGGGUUGCGGACAGUGUCUGGUGGGUAGUUUGACUGGGGCGGUCUCCUCCCAAAGCGUAACGGAGGAGCACGAAGGUUAGCUAAUCCUGGUCGGACAUCAGGAGGUUAGUGCAAUGGCAUAAGCUAGCUUGACUGCGAGCGUGACGGCGCGAGCAGGUGCGAAAGCAGGUCAUAGUGAUCCGGUGGUUCUGAAUGGAAGGGCCAUCGCUCAACGGAUAAAAGGUACUCCGGGGAUAACAGGCUGAUACCGCCCAAGAGUUCAUAUCGACGGCGGUGUUUGGCACCUCGAUGUCGGCUCAUCACAUCCUGGGGCUGAAGUAGGUCCCAAGGGUAUGGCUGUUCGCCAUUUAAAGUGGUACGCGAGCUGGGUUUAGAACGUCGUGAGACAGUUCGGUCCCUAUCUGCCGUGGGCGCUGGAGAAUUGAGGGGGGCUGCUCCUAGUACGAGAGGACCGGAGUGGACGCAUCACUGGUGUUCGGGUUGUCAUGCCAAUGGCACUGCCCGGUAGCUAAAUGCGGAAGAGAUAAGUGCUGAAAGCAUCUAAGCACGAAACUUGCCCCGAGAUGAGUUCUCCCUGAGACUUUAAGUCUCCUGAAGGAACGUU